GGUCCGAUGCCACGUCGACGGUAGCAAAAAUGAGCGAUGACCGACGAUGCUAUGAUUGGACCAAUAACAAGUUUUAAUUAACGUUUCGCAUUCUGAUAGGAAUCUGUGUAUGGGACUUAUCAAUUCCUUCACGGAGCCGUUUCGUGCGAUUACAUUU